rnacentral:lncRNA from 1 species
AAAAAAAAAAAAAAAAAACAAAAAUAAACUCUUCUUCGACUUCAAGUAAAGACGCAAUCUCAGAAUCCAAGAACCAGAACGUCAGUCAAUAGUACCGAUGGACGGCUCAAAAGGAAAGAGGAGAGGAGUAGAAGAUGCUAAAUCAGUAUCAGCAUCAGAUAUGGAAUCGACUUUACACAUCGGUUUGCUUGCUGUUGCUUUUUCUGAGCAGUUAGGGGUAGUUUCGGGAAUCUGAUGGCCACGUAUUAUUAUAUAUAAUUCAUUUAUUUUUCUUUUUCAAAAUGGCUGAAAGGGACAAUUGCAAAAUAAUUUAAAUUGCGAAAUCGUAGCCGUAGGACGAAAAUGCAAUACCGAGUAGUUUUUCUUGUAUGGGCAGGCAGUGAGAGUGCGUAAUCAGUGUGUGAGGUUUGUUUGGAUACUUUAUUGGAAAACUAGUCGGAUAAUCCUCGUGUAGUUUUGUAUUUUUUUUAACUGAUUUGAAGGAAAUUUAUCACCGUUUGUGUUUGUAUUUGUAUUGCUUUACUUUAAAUAAUAAAAAAAUUACAGUUCAGUUUUUCUCAUUUACGAAAUACAAUUAAUCAGCUUAUGUUUUUUAAAAACAUAUUAAUUUGUCUUUAUAUUUUGUUUUCACUGCACUGUUAGAUCAUUUCAUUAAAUUUUUGUAUCUUUUUCGUUAAAUACGUUAUGAAAUAAUGAAAAUAUUCAUUUUAUUUUUAAAAACACAAGAACUAAUUAGUUCUAUUUUUCAAAUUUAGGGACUACGCUGUAAUUUUUUAAUAUAAUAUUUUAAUAUCUUUGCUUUGACCUAUAUAUUUUCUUGAUGACUUAACGAAAAAGAUGUAAAAUUUAGACAUAAUAAACUAAUAGUAUAGCGGCA